UGUGGAUAUAUACAGCGAAAUUAGCUCUAAAAAUCUUGUUACUUUUUCCACGGCACACACACACACGCACGCACGGGCGCACUCUUACACUCGCUCAAUAAUUAAUUGCAGCUCAAGAGAGCGUGUUGCCAACACCAACACCAAAAACAGUAACAACAAUCGUCGACGUUGUGAUUUUACGCAUUUGCUCUGCCAUAUUGCACAUUAGAGGCAGAAGGAAAGAAAAAGAGUUGGGUUCGUUUAAAAGUAAAUGCAGCACUGUACUUUUCAAAAGUUUAAUUCUAACUUUACAUUAGUUACUAGACAAAUUCUGUGUAUCUUCUCCGCACAAUUAGCGGCAUUAUCUUAACUUUUCCAAGCGUGUGGGAUCACAAUAUUUCAUUUCCUUUUUUCUUUUUUUUGCUAUGAUGGCGACCACGGCAGCGACGCAACGCACUUUACAGCGCUGUCGGGCCGCUGCUGCUAGCGUAUGUAUGUAUGUAAUUCAUGCGCCAGAUACGCGAUUCACAUAAUUUUGCUCGCUUGACUUUUACACUAUCCGCCACGCAACUGUUUUUGUUCUAUGCGACCUGGCAGAAUCGUACCAUUGUUAUUAUUAGAAGAAUUUUCACUUUUAACUACAAAUUUUUUCGGCCGUCAACUGCGCUGCCAGCACGAAGAGCACACACAUGCAAACAUUUUUCUUUGAUUAAAUGCGGGGGGUUGUUCGCCCUAAGGGCCAUUACAGGGCUUACAAUAUCAACUUUUCUUACAUUUUUCGAUGAACUUCCUUCAUGUAUAUCGACUGUAUCAAGUUAGUGUAUGCAUUUUAUUCGCUUUACGUUGCUAAUUAAACAUUUUCAGCCAUCAGUAAAUCUCAAAAACUCACGCACGCACACACACUUAAGCACUUGCACAGGCUGGGGAAAAACUCACAGUCGUCAUAAAUAGGUAGCAAUAACCGCGCACGCUUGGCAAAAAGAGCUGAAUGUUCCAUAAAACCACCGAGCACAGCACAGCACUUGCAAACUUGACUAAAUAUGUAUUUAUUUUUUUUAAUUCCUCUUGCGUUCUGCGUUUUUUCCUCCUGCUACAUGUGUCCAGUGUGACGGCACCGUCCGUCCCUCAGAAAUAUACCUUCUUAUUUACAAAAUAUACCUUAAAUAUACCGACGGAAAAGCGAACUUAACCCACUGUCAAUUUCGAAAGGUGAACAGAUUGAGGUAAACCGCUAAAAAUAAUACUGAAUGUAAAUUCUUCUUGUUGACCAAUCCUUUCUCUUUCAUUUCAACAAAAAUUACCAAGAUAUCUUUCACCUGAAUUGCACUAAAAUUGUAUCAAGUUUCAAUAUUUUCCAGGAGUGUAUUUUAAUACGCAAUGUUUUACAAUGGGUUAAUCGUUCUGAGUCCAUGAUCGGAAAUCAUAAUUCACGAUUUUGCUGUUCGAUUUAAUAUUACUAGGACUGACUAUUGGAA